rnacentral:rRNA from 1 species
GACGAACGCUGGCGGCGUGCCUAAUACAUGCAAGUCGAACGGUCUUUUCUAUGGAAGCUUGCUUCCACUGAGAAGAUAGUGGCGAACGGGUGAGUAACACGUGGGUAACCUGCCCAUAAGAGGGGGAUAACAUCCGGAAACGGGUGCUAAUACCGCAUAGUUUUCUUGAUCGCAUGAUUGAGAAAGGAAAGACGGCCUUUGUGCUGUCGCUUAUGGAUGGACCCGCGGCGUAUUAGUUAGUUGGUGAGGUAACGGCUCACCAAGACGAUGAUACGUAGCCGACCUGAGAGGGUGAUCGGCCACAUUGGGACUGAGACAUGGCCCAAACUCCUACGGGAGGCAGCAGUAGGGAAUCUUCCGCAAUGGACGAAAGUCUGACGGAGCAACGCCGCGUGAGUGAAGAAGGUUUUCGGAUCGUAAAACUCUGUUGUCUAGAGAAGAACAAGUUGGAGAGUAACUGCUCCAGCCUUGACGGUAUCUGACCAGAAAGCCACGGCUAACUACGU